UACGUAGGGUGCGAGCGUUGUCCGGAAUUAUUGGGCGUAAAGAGCUCGUAGGCGGUUUGUCACGUCUGCUGUGAAAUCCCGAGGCUCAACCUCGGGCCUGCAGUGGGUACGGGCAGACUGGAGUGCGGUAGGGGAGAAUGGAAUUCCUGGUGUAGCGGUGGAAUGCGCAGAUAUCAGGAGGAACACCGAUGGCGAAGGCAGUUCUCUGGGCAUUAACUGACGCUGAGGAGCGAAAGCAUGGGGAGCGAACAGG
rnacentral:rRNA from 1 species